CCUACGGGAGGCAGCAGUGGGGAAUAUUGGGCAAUGGGGGCAACCCUGACCCAGCGACGCCGCGUGGGUGAAGAAAUCCUUCGGGAUGUAAAGCCCUGUUGUAUGGGAAGAGUAGAAGACGGUACCAUACGAGGAAGCCCCGGCAAACUACGUGCCAGCAGCCGCGGUAAUACGUAGGGGGCAAGCGUUGUCCGGAAUUACUGGGCGUAAAGCGCACGCAGGCUGACUUAUAAGUCGGUAGUCUAAUGCGGAGGCUCAACUUCCGUUUAUCUAUCGAUACUGUAAGACUAGAGUAUGUGAGAGGGAAGUGGGAUUCCCGGUGUAGCGGUGAAAUGCGUAGAUAUCGGGAGGAACACCAGUGGCGAAGGCGACUUCCUGGCACAAUACUGACGCUCAUGUGCGAAAGCUAGGGUAGCGAACG
rnacentral:rRNA from 1 species